GGCAAGUGAAGCGGGCACAGCUCCAAGGGAAUGACUGGCUCUGGCCGAGUUGUNAUUUGUAGAAGGUGCUUCGGGUGCGGCCCCGGUCCAAGUCCCUUGGAACAGGGCGUCGCAGAGGGUGAGAGUCCCGUACGCGGCCGAUGGCCAAGCCCAUGUGAAGCCCUUUCGACGAGUCGAGUUGUUUGGGAAUGCAGCUCUAAAUGGGUGGUAAAUUUCAUCUAAAGCUAAAUAUCUGCCGGAGACCGAUAGCGCACAAGUAGAGUGAUCGAAAGAUGAAAAGCACUUUGAAAAGAGAGUCAAACAGUACGUGAAAUUGUUGAAAGGGAAGCGCUUGCAACCAGACUCGUUCGCGGGUGCUCAGCCGUCCCUCGGGGCGGUGCACUCUCCCGCGUUUCGGGCCAGCAUCGGUUUUGGCGGCCGGAUAAAGGCACUGGGAACGUAGCUCUCUUCGGGGAGUGUUAAGCCCAGGGUGCAAUGCGGCCAGCCGGGACCGAGGACCGCGCGUUCGCUAGGAUGCUGGCGUAAUGGUUGCCAGCGACCCGUCUUGAAACACGGACCAAGGAGUCGACCAAUCUGGCGAGUUUUAGGGCAUGAAACCCUGAAGCGCAAUGAAAGUGAACGUAGGUGGGAGCCCCCGGGUGCACCAUCGACCGAUCCUGAUGUCCUCGGAUGGAUUUGAGUAUGAGCCCGGUUGGUCGGACCCGAAAGUGAGUUUUUUCCAGGCUCUCCCCCGGGCACUCUUGCUAACGAAUGCUUCAGGAUGGUGAACUAUGCGUGAAUAGGGUGAAGCCAGAGGAAACUCUGGUGGAGGCUCGCAGCGGUUCUGACGUGCAAAUCGAUCGUCAAAUUUGCGCAUAGGGGCGAAAGACUAAUCGAACUAUCUAGGUAAUUUUAUCUUUCCAGACUUGAAUUUUCGAAUCAACUAACUCGAAACAGUAGCUGGUUCCCGUCGAAGUUUCCCUCAGGAUAGCAGCAACGAAAACAGUCUCAUGAGGUAGAGCAAACGAUUAGAGGUCUUGGGGUUGAAAUCGACCUUAACCUAUUCUCGAACUUCGAAUAUGUGAGAAGUCCUUGUUACUUAGUUGAACGUGGACAUUUGGGAUGUAUCGGUGCUAGUGCCCCAUUUUUGGUAGCAGAAACUGGCGG
rnacentral:rRNA from 1 species